AUUGAACGCUGGCGGCAUGCUUUACACAUGCAAGUCGAACGGUAACAGGGAGCUUGCUCCGCUGACGAGUGGCGAACGGGUGAGUAAUGCGUCGGAACGUGCCGAGUAGUGGGGGAUAACGCAUCGAAAGGUGUGCUAAUACCGCAUACGUACUGAGGUAGAAAGUGGGGGACCUUCGGGCCUCACGCUAUACGAGCGGCCGACGUCUGAUUAGCUAGUUGGUGAGGUAAAGGCUCACCUAGGCGACGAUCAGUAGCGGGUCUGAGAGGAUGAUCCGCCACACUGGGACUGAGACACGGCCCAGACUCCUACGGGAGGCAGCAGUGGGGAAUUUUGGACAAUGGGCGAAAGCCUGAUCCAGCCAGGCCGCGUGUCUGAAGAAGGCCUUCGGGUUGUAAAGGACUUUUGUCGGGGAGGAAAUCCCCAGCGCUAAUACCGCUGGGGGAUGACAGUACCUGAAGAAUAAGCACCGGCUAACUACGUGCCAGCCGCCGCCGUAAUAC
rnacentral:rRNA from 1 species